CGAGAGCCUUACUGUCUCCCUUAUNNAAUCAGUGAAACUGAUCUUCCCGUGCAGAAGCGGGAAUUUUAUCAUAAGACGAGAAGACCCCAUGGAGCUUAAAACCUAAAAUUACCUGCUCAAACAUAUUUCCUACGGGACCACCCUUUAGCCUUGCAGAAAAUAAUUUAAGUUUUCGGUUGGGGUGACCACGGAGAAAAAUAAAUCCUCCUUGAUGAACAAUUAAUUUAAACUACGAGCCACUGCUCUAAGUAUUAGAACUUCUAACUAAACUGAUCCAAUAAUUUUGAUCAACGGACCAAGUUACCCUGGGGAUAACAGCGCAAUCUAUUUCAAGAGUCCAUAUCGACAAAUGGGUUUACGACCUCGAUGUUGGAUCAGGGUAUCCCAGUGGUGCAGCCGCUACUAAAGGUUCGUUUGUUCAACGAUUAAAACCCUACGUGAUCUGAG
rnacentral:rRNA from 1 species